AUCACUACCUGGACUCUGAAAGUUAUGGAGCUGCUGAAGGUUACUGAAGGUCACACUGUUAGUAGGUGAUAAAGCUAGAACUUGAACUAAGGUCUGCUUCACUCCUGAGCCCGUGUUCUUCCCACGUGACACAGCUGUGUCCCUGCAACCCCUGCCACUUGAUGCUACACCAGUACUGAACCAUGCAGAUGCUCUGGAGCACGUGACCAUGUUUCUUGCACCCAUGGCUUUGUUCCUGCUUUUUCUUCUACAAACACUUGCACAUGCACACAUGCAUAGAGCUUUUUUUGCUUUUGCUCUUGGUGCUGACCUUUCAGGUCUGGGUUCAGUCUUGCACAGCCCUUGUCUUGGCCCCUGCUCUUGUCUGUACAGAGCCUCUGUGGCCCUCUGCCUAGUUCUGUGGUAGCACUUUCUGUGCUGUGUUGUGUGUAUAACCUGAGCACCUUGAGGUCAGGACCUUGUCUCAGGGCCUAGGUUGGAAUGUGGCACAUGUGGACCUUGCUAACCCUCUGCAGAUCUGAACUGAAGCGAGUGGAUCGUAGGAGAUCUCAAACCUAUGAGGCAUUGAAUUUGAUGUCCUGAGCUUUAGGAGCUGGCUGGCAUAGGCUGCAUCCUUGAAUAGGUCUGGAAUUAGGCUGCUAACAGAAGACAUCUGGGUCUUUCUGCCUUUCAAUCACUGUGACAGUCUCCACAAGCAAAAGGUUUGAAGAACUAUAACAUUUAUGGCUCCCUGGCCAUAAAUUCAUGGCAGAACACAUAAAAAAUGCCAUUCCCACAGGGUUAUGGCAGAGAUUCAGUAUUGCAAACAUCUGCAUCUGAGUAGUAAACCUAACCUCUGGUGUGCAGCUCUCGACUCUUAUCGACAUAUAUUAACAUUAGUGACAAUCAAAUGUGAUUAUCUGAGAUGGCAUUUUAUCUGCCAACCACAGACUUAUGGGUUCGAUCCCUGGCCUCGCUCAGUGGGUUAAGGAUUCAGCAUUGCUGUGAGCUGUGGUGUAGGUCGCAGACAUGGCUCGGAUCUCAUGUUGCUGUGGCUCUGGCAUAGGCCUGCAGCUACAGCUCUGAUUCGACCCCCAGCUUGGGAACCUUUAUAUGCCAUGGGAGCAGCCCAAGAAAUGCCAAAAAAGACCAAAAAAAUUUUUUUUUUAAAUUAAAAAAUAAAAAAUAAAAUAUAGCUAAGAAAGGUAUAUACACUGAGAAAUUAUUGAACAGAAUCAGUUCAAUAUUUAGUAUCUACAAAUAUUUAAAUAUAUUUUUUUGGUCCUGAACUUGUAAAUAAUUUGAAAAAUGACUCACACUCCUGCCUUUUUGUUAUAGGCUGUAUCUAGUUCAUUUCCUUUUUCCAAAUAUAAACCCCUAAAGGUUAGGAGUAUUCUUAUUUUUAAGGCAAUAUGGAACAGACAAAGUUAGCCUUUUCAGGUAUUUUCAUGUCGUCAGGGAAGCUCACCAAGGGAGUGAGGAUAAGAUGGCCCAUUGCCCUUGGGCCUUUAGAAAACAUCUCAUGGGGGUAACUGCUUUGAUUCCCAGCCGUGCAGGAGGUAACAGAUGUGAGGCUCUCCAUGGUGCUUGCCAGAAAUAUGUAUGUAGUGGGGGACAGAACAAGGUCCUUUGAAGAUUGGAGAAUUCGCUGCCUCUGUGUUCACUUUAUUGCUUUCUUCCUGUGCAAAACGUCUCUGGACCCAGAGGGACAGGCACCAGCCAGACAGUGAGGCAAAUGACAAGUUGACAAAAUGGUUGUAAUUCUAGAAGCUGCAGUCCCAUCCCAGGCUCUUUAUGCUGGGGGUGGGGCUGAAACCAAAGUCUGAAACAGCUCACGGAAGAGCAGGAAGAUACUGUUACUAAUGGUUGGACUGACCUGAAUUCUUGCCAUGUUUGUUUACGCCUGAUGUUGGCAUAAACAUUUGAACUGCAUCCGCAUUAACGCCCCUAUCUAUCAACGGCAGACUUAUUAAUUGAAAGUUGGCCAAACUUCGCAACGUACACUCGACCCACUGUGAGUAGGAUGGGGAGCUGAUGGCAUGGUAGAAGGCCCUCAAAGUGACACCAUAACCAUCUCUGCUUAUCCAGAGAUGUAAUGACACCGGGCACAAGACAGGACAGCAGAAUUCGAUGCCACAUUGGAGCCAUGUACUUUCUAUUAAGGGCAGGUUUAUGCAGUUUUAGACAUGGUAGCUAUUUGUGUUCAUUCAUUCAUCUUCUAAAAGCAAUGGUUACCGAGCACCUGCUCCUGUCCAUUAUUGAACUAGGAGCUUGGGAGAGAGCCCAGCGUGUGGUUCUGCCCUCCAGUCUCAUACAGUCUAGUAGGGGGUGUAGACAAGCACAUGGGGACUCGCAAAGGCCAGUGACAGCUGCUGAGAUAUGGGAAAGCUUAGCUGCUUUGACAGCAUCUGGGGUGACUCAGCCUUCCUGUGGUGGAGUGGGAGUUUCAGGGAGAGAUGGGAAGGGAGGAUCAAGUUGGGCUGAAGGAUGAAUGGAGGUGAACCAAGGGAGGUUUGCACAGGGUUCAGAGGUAGGAAUGUGGAAGUUGGACCAGGUGAAGGAGUUCCCAGCCCUGGGGAAGUAGGAGAGGGAAGCUCUCAGGAGCCAGUGGCUUCCUGAGCUGCCUGCGAUGGGCCGGGGUCAGCCAGCUCCCUCCUAGUCAGCUAUGUGCUGCCCUUGACCUGACUACGUGCUGGUCACAUACUGGCUUCUUUCUGCCCUGUUACAAAUACUGUUGUCUCCAUUGGCAGAUAUGGAAACUGAAUCUUCAAGCGGUUAGAUAACUGGCGUGCAGUUGCACAGUAAAUAAAGCACCAGAGCCAGGUUUCAGGCCAAGUCUGAUUCAGAACAUGAGCUCCUCAGCACCUCCAUCCAGAAGUUCCCUAGCCAGAAAGAGGGAAGCUUGUGGAACCCAAAAAGCCAGUCAAUGUUGUCUGGGUAUCUCCCAGCCCCAGCGCCCGGCCAGCUCUUUGAGGAUGUGGAUCCAGGUUAUCUUUCAAGUAGCCCUCCCGUCCCAGUGACAGGGCACACCCAUACAUAAUGCUUUCUCAACCAGUGCUUGCUAACUGAAGUGUUUCUCUACCUCUGCUUCCCCUUCCUGUCCUUCUUGUAAGAAUUUGGAAGGGAUUCAACAACAACAUUUGGACUUUGGCAUUUUUUACAUGGCUCUUCUGAAAAUGGGUAGAUGACUCAGUAGAAGAUGAGCUAGUUGACGUAUGAGAAACGGAGAUACUGUUAAGAGACCCUGGAAGUCUUCGUAUGCUGCUUGGUUUUGUGAGUGGGAUUAUAAUUGCUCGAGAGGGAGAGAAUGUAUGCUGCCACCAUGGAAUGAAAUGUCAGGGAAAGAGUUAAACAAACUAGAUGAACAAGGUAGAAUUGCAUCUAAGAUCUGGUAAUGAAAUAAGCUGCUUACAGCUCUUAAAUUGAUCUAUUAAUAAGUUUCUAUGUUACCGCUUUUUAAAAAAGUGAAUACCUUCUACGUGAGAAUUUGAAGACACUGUCUAAAUGAAUUGUUGGCAUCAUUCCUGAUACUUAGGGUCCAUAAGCCCUUCAAGGUUAUAGUCAUAGAGCAGUCCUGGAUUAGCAUUAGUAUUUCUUUUGUAUUAGGAGGAUAAUGGUAAUAAAUUUGCAACCAAUUAGUAAGGGGAUCUUGGACAAGUGGGGUCAAGCAGGCAGGGUGGGCUUUCUAAUUUAAUUUCCUGUGCCUACUGCCUAGGGAAGUGUUACUCAGUCACAUGGACUCAGGGUUUUUUGUUUGUUUGUUAGUUAAGAGAGGAUUAAAGCUCACCUUUUAGAGUUGUUGGAAAUUUAGAAGUAAUGUAUGAAAAGCCUCAGCUCACUACCCAACAUGUAGUAGACGUUUAAGCACUUGAUGCUGUAAGAUAGAUGCAUCCACUAAUCCUCCUUCAAAUUGUCCUGGUGUACAUGUGCCCCAUUUGUGGCAUGGCUUCUGGCCCUAAAUAGAGGAUAAAAACUUGGACACUGAACUCGGAGAGAUGUGGGAUGACAUCAUGAGUUUACUGCUAUCACCAUGUCUUUUGCAGUUAAUGUAUUUGCUCUCUGCCUCAAUUUCCUUCUCUGUCAAGUGGGAUCGUGGUAGCAACUUCUACGAGAGCUCUUGUUGGGACCGAAGGAGAGAAGCUGUUUAAAGCCCUUAAUAUGGAUUCCUUGCAAAGUAAGUUGCUGUAGAUGGCAAUGAUUAUCACCUACUUUUGUUAUUAUUCCAGGGGUAGCUUUACUGGGGAGUGGGAAUCGCAUGCUUGCUCUCUCCACUGAGGCUUAACUUUGCAAAUAGGGUUGCAUUUCAGUGUUGCUGAGAAUGACAUAGCUGUUUAGUGGCGCACAGGAAUAGGGUCCCUCAUUCCACCCUCCCCUCACAGAGCAGAUGUAAGUCAGGUAAGAGGGCCGGCCUGCCUGGGAAUACAGAGAAAUGGAAGAGCUACCUUGCAGGGUGGUGCAAAAGGCCAUUAAGGAAAGAAGAGAUGCCUCUGGUUGGAGUGGGUUGGGAGGCUUCAGAGAAGUGCUGGGAAUUGAUUUUUAUUCCAUGGACCUGACGGCACAGGGAAGCAAGAAAGCACAUUUUUGAAAAGGAGAUUUUGGGAGUUCCCAUUGUGGCUCAGUGGGUUAUGAACCCACCUAGUACCCAUGAGGAUGCUGGUUCAGUCUCUGGCCUUGAUCUGCAGGUUAAGGAUCUGGCGUUCGGUGAACUGUGGUGUAGGUUGCAGAUGUGGCUCAGAUCCCAGAGUUGCUGUGGCUGUGGUAUAAGCCGGCAGCUGCA
rnacentral:lncRNA from 1 species